rnacentral:rRNA from 1 species
CCUACGGGCGGCAGCAGUGGGGAAUAUUGCACAAUGGGCGCAAGCCUGAUGCAGCCAUGCCGCGUGUGUGAAGAAGGCCUUCGGGUUGUAAAGCAUUUUCAGCGGGGAGGAAGGCGGUGAGGUUAAUAACCUCAUCGAUUGACGUUACCCGCAGAAGAAGCACCGGCUAACUCCGUGCCAGCAGCCGCGGUAAUACGGAGGGUGCAAGCGUUAAUCGGAAUUACUGGGCGUAAAGCGCACGCAGGCGGUCUGUCAAGUCGGAUGUGAAAUCCCCGGGCUCAACCUGGGAACUGCAUUCGAAACUGGCAGGCUAGAGUCUUGUAGAGGGGGGUAGAAUUCCAGGCGUAGCGGUGAAAUGCGUAGAGAUCUGGAGGAAUACCGGUGGCGAAGGCGGCCCCCUGGACAAAGACUGACGCUCAGGUGCGAAAGCGUGGGGAGCAAACAGGAUUAGAUACCUGUAGUC